rnacentral:misc_RNA from 1 species
GUGAAUCAUCAAAUUUUUGAACGCAAAUUGCACUCUCUUCUGAGAGUAAGCCUGUGUGAGGGUCAGUAUUAAUAAAAAUAGGUGUGUUGCUUCUGUGUGACGCUCUGGAGUUUGGGGCAUCUUAAUAUCCUUUAGGUUUUAAGAGGCUUAAGAUUGACUUUUGUUGCGCAUUUUAGAUGUACAUAAAUUCUUUUUUUUUAUCGUCAGUCCUAAUUAUCGUAAAUC